UCAGCCCUGUGCACAGGUGCCGGUGAUUCAGAGGGAGGACGAGGGAGACGCCCGGGAUCAAAGGAAAACUCACAGGGGCUUCUGGAUCGGAGAAGCAGGAACUACAAUUCCCAGAAUCCCUUUCCCCGUGUGGUCCAGGGUUGAAGUUUGCCAGUGAAGGCGCUCUGCGGGAUGUGAAGGUGGAAGAGAUAUCAAGGCAUAUUCUUUGGAAGUAGAUGCAGCCAGACUCUGAGUGCAUGUUGCUGCCACAGCAUGGCUUGAUGAGGGUAUAAGUUGGUGCCUGGGAUCCGAACCCACGAACCUGGGGUGCUGAAGCAGAGUGCACGAAACUUCAGCCACUCAGCCACGGGGCCAGCCGUACAAACAAUCUUUGAAUGGCCAGAGGCCUUCUCUCCACCAAGAGUGAGGUGGUAAGGGCAAGAAGGGAAGAAAUGACACUUGGUUAAGGAGUCACUGCUCAGGCGUGUCCACGGCCACCUCCAGUUCUCUUGGGCAGCCUAACAUCGGUCACAGUGGGCCCGCCUUCCUCCCUGUCUUCUGGGACCAGCCCACCCCAUCCCAGCUUCUCUGCCUGAAGCCAGCGGGUCAGUGAGGACGAGUGAGGACCCCAGACCCAGCUUGCCCACCGGUUUGUUAUGGGCUGCAGACUCUGGGUUCAAGGAGGGAAGUCAAAGGACUUUCCUUUUUACCUAACGUGUUUUAUCAGAAGUUUUGCAAGCUGGGGUUAUUGAA